rnacentral:tRNA from 1 species
GUUGCAGCUCAGCGGAAGAGUGCUCGCCUAGCAUGUGUGAGGCACUGGGUUCGAUCCCUGGCACUACA